rnacentral:sRNA from 12 species
ACUGCCGCCGGACGGUACGGACCGUGAGGGUUGGGGAACCCGAGGACCGGCUCGUACCGAGAGUCGUCGGGGUUGCAGGGAACCNGCAUUUAGGGACCCCGGAGGAG